CGCAUCUGUGCAUGCAGCAUAUCAAUAAGCGGAGGAAAAGAAGCUAACAAGGAUUCCCUUAGUAACGGCGAGUGAAGCGGGAAGAGCUCAAAUUUGAAAUCUUCAAGGUUUUACCUUGACGAAUUGUAGUUUAAAGAAGUGCUUUCUGUUGAAGUUUUGGUAAAAGUUCUUUGGAAUAGGACAUCAUAGAGGGUGAGAAUCCCGUAUUUGACCAUUAUUUUCAGCUGUGUGAUACACUUUCAAAGAGUCGGAUUGUUUGGGAAUGCAGUCCAAAAUGGGUGGUAAAUUUCAUCUAAAGCUAAAUAUUGGCGAGAGACCGAUAGCGAACAAGUACCGUGAGGGAAAGAUGAAAAGAACUUUGAAAAGAGAGUUAAACAGUACGUGAAAUUGUCGAAAGGGAAGCGUUUGACACCAGUGUUGUUUUCUCGAAAAUCAAUUAAAAAGAGUUUGAUUUUGUUGUGUAUUGACCUUAACAGCUUGCAUUUCAAUUUUCUUGCUUUUUUUAAUGCACUUUUCGUUUAACAAGUCAACAUCAGUUUCUUUUGUUGUAAAAAGGUCAUUGGAAGGUGGCUUUCUUUUCGGAGAAAGUGUUUAUAGCCUUUGACUCCUGCAAUCGGAGAGACUGAGGUCUGCAGCGUAGAUCCUUCGGGGUUAGAUACAUUUGUGCUAAGUUAUAGCUUUUUAUAGACAACUUGUUGAUCUAUGAUUAGUCUUGUAGCUUACUCGCUUAUGCUAUUUUACCUACGCUUAGGAUGUUGAUGUGAUACUGCGAGC
rnacentral:rRNA from 1 species